GGGGGCUGCAUUCCAAACUGGAUAUCUAGAGUGCAGGAGAGGAAAGCGGAAUUCCUAGUGUAGCGGUGAAAUGCGUAGAGAUUAGGAAGAACACCAGUGGCGAAGGCGGCUUUCUGGACUGUAACUGACGCUGAGGCACGAAAGCGUGGGUAGCAAACAGGAUUAGAUACCCUGGUAGUCCACGCCGUAAACGAUGGAUACUAGGUGUAGGGGGUAUCAACUCCCCCUGUGCCGCAGUUAACACAAGUAAGUAUCCCGCCUGGGGAGUACGGUCGCAAGAUUAAAACUCAAAGGAAUUGACGGGGGCCCGCACAAGCAGCGGAGCAUGUGGUUUAAUUCGAAGCAACGCGAAGAACCUUACCUGGACUUGACAUCCCUUGCAUAGCCUAGAGAUAGGUGAAGCCCUUCGGGGCAAGGAGACAGGUGGUGCAUGGUUGUCGUCAGCUCGUGUCGUGAGAUGUUAGGUUAAGUCCUGCAACGAGCGCAACCCUUGUUAUUAGUUGCUACCAUUAAGUUGAGCACUCUAAUGAGACUGCCUGGGUAACCAGGAGGAAGGUGGGGAUGACGUCAAAUCAUCAUGCCCCUUAUGUCCAGGGCUACACACGUGCUACAAUGGUAGGUACAAUAAGA
rnacentral:rRNA from 1 species